rnacentral:rRNA from 1 species
UUAAAUUGAAGAGUUUGAUCAUGGCUCAGAUUGAACGCUGGCGGCAGGCCUAACACAUGCAAGUCGGGCGGUAACAGG